CAAACAGACUCUCCUGCCCCAGGAGCCCAGGGGCUUGUGGUCUGGCAGAAUGCAGGGAGGACAGGAAGCUGAAGGAUGAGAGCAGCAAAUCCUGCCGCUUGAUGCUUGUCCGGGAGGCAGAGGUGAACUUGAACCCACAGUGUGUGCUGAGCCCGGCUGGAGGAAACUCUUAUUAGAAGAGGCUGUUCUCAGACUUGAUGAACCUAAAAGAGAACCUGUGCAGUGCAGACCGCAGGGCCCCAGUGAUGCAGCCAUGACCUUUAGAAUGCAGACGAGCUCCAUCCCCUUGUGCGAUUUCUCCUCGGGUGGUGCUGACAGCUGGGCUGCCCAGAGAUCUCCGCUCCUGAGCAGCAAGUCAGUGACAGUGACAGGCAGAUCCUGAAACUAUCGAUAAACGCUCAUUGGGUGCUGGAGCAUGGUAAAUUGCUAUCAACCGCAGUGGAUUUCUCUCUCUCUCGACAGUAUCAUUUUUCUUGACAGCAGCAUGUUCAGGAAGUGGUUUGUUUUGCUGGAUUUUUUUUUUGUGGGCAGUAACUUUUUCUUCUUUUUAUGCAUCAGUUGCUUUUAGAGAUCCCUCUCUAAAGAAGAGAAGGAAGACAACGUGGAUUAGCUCCUGAAGCACCCUCUGCCCUGGCCUCCCAAGGAGGGUUGUUGCUGGGUUCACAUUGGAGCUUUAUCAGGAUCUGCAUCCUUCCUCAGCAGGCUGGCCCAGUGCUCUGCUCCCUGCUCAGCAGCUUAGUGCACUCAGAUCUCUUUGAACUGUCUUUAAUGCUGAAGUGACCCAUCACUGCUUGGUCUCUUCCUACUCCAUGGCUUAGGGAUGGCUACUUGCACUACUGCAUUCAAAUAUCCUUCUUCGACAGGGUAACAAGACUUGUGGGUGGCGGGAGCAGUAGGGGUGAUAUAUCUCAGCUUCUGAUACUGUCUCACGUGACCUUUUCAUAAGCAAACUAGGGAAAUAUACUGCACAACUGCUUGCAAAACCAUACUCAGAAAGAGUAGCUAUCAGUG